rnacentral:rRNA from 1 species
AUGCAAGUCGAACGGAUUAUUCUUUAUAGCUUGCUAUAGAGAAUAGUUAGUGGCAGACGGGUGAGUAAUGCAUAGGAAUCUACCUAGUAGUAUGGGAUAGCCACUAGAAAUGGUGGGUAAUACUGUAUAAUCCCUGCGGGGGAAAGAUUUAUCGCUAUUAGAUGAGCCUAUGUUAGAUUAGCUAGUUGGUAGGGUAAAGGCCUACCAAGGCGAUGAUCUAUAGCUGGUCUGAGAGGAUGAUCAGCCACACUGGAACUGAGAUACGGUCCAGACUCCUACGGGAGGCAGCAGUGGGGAAUAUUGGACAAUGGGCGCAAGCCUGAUCCAGCUAUGCCGCGUGAGUGAGGAAGGCCUUAGGGUUGUAAAACUCUUUCAGUAGGGAAGAUAAUGACGGUACCUACAGAA